rnacentral:lncRNA from 1 species
AUAUUUAGAGGGAACUAAUGGCAGAGACCAAUAUAAAUUAAUAGAAAACUAAACCAUAAUUGACCUUCAAUUCCAUUCUCAAGAGCAUAUAGCAGAUAGAUUGCACAGAAAGCAAUCUAUGUCAUGAUAUUUCUCUGCUAUAUCAAAUCUCAUGAUCUUUCUCUUGAAAAGUGAGAAAAUUUCUUGAUGGAAAAGGAUCAUUUAGUUAAACACUUGAAUCAUUGAAAGAUGUACCAACUAUUCAUUCAAUUACUCCGCCGCGUUAGAUUAGUACAAUCUACCUUCAAAACUUCACCACAGAAAAUAAUUAACACACUCAUAACAUUGUUUUUAGAUCUGUCACUAGCUUUCUCCAAAGCAACUACAGCUGGAACAGCUACAUCUAACCAGACAAAAACAUGGAAUUCUGUAGCAUGAAAAAUGGUAAAUGUUGAGUUAGUUUUAACCCUCAAGCAAAAGGAAAACAAAAAAAAUUAAAUUCUGUAGCAUAUAAAUAAAACAAAACAAAUCACAAUUGCUACCUUCAGAACUGUGUCUUUACAUUGCUUCCAUCAAUGACAAACAAGUAUUGAACAUUUUGAAGCAGCAUCAAGAAACCUUUGGAUUGAUGGCUAUUUCGUGUUAGUGCACUAAAUUUCUCUAAUAUACGAUAACGAGGUUUGAAGUACUCUUUUUCUUGAAGGUUCUUUU